rnacentral:rRNA from 2 species
UUUCAAAAACAUGUCUUAUUGAAUAUAAUUUUAAGUCAAAUCUGCUCAAUGAAUAAAUUUAAAUAGCUGCAGUAUCAAUAACUGUACAAAGGUAGCAUAAUAAUUAGUUUUUUAAUUAAAAACUUGAAUGAAUGAUUUAAUGAAAAAUAAACUGUCUCAAAAUUAUUAAAUAAAUUUAUUUUUUAAGUAAAAAAACUUAAAUUAAUAUUAAAGACGAGAAGACCCUAAAGAAUUUUUAUACUUUAUAAAUUUAUUAAUUAAUAUAAUUUAUAAAUUAUUUUAAUUGGGGAAAUUUUAAAAUUUAAUUAAUUUUUAAUUAAAUUAAACAUUUAUUUUUGAAUAAAUUAACUUUUUUUAAAAAAACAAAUUUAAAUUACCUUAGGGAUAACAGCAUAAUUUUUUUAAAAAGUUCAAAUUUAUAAAAAAGUUUAUGACCUCGAUUUUGAAUAAGA